rnacentral:rRNA from 1 species
GACAAACGCUGGCGGCAUGCCUAACACAUGCAAGUCGAACGAGAAUCGGUGGAUAGAGACUUCGGUCAAUUGAAAUCGAGGACAGUGGCGGACGGGUGAGUAAUGCAUGAGCAACCUGCCUUGGAGUGGGGGACAACAGUUGGAAACGACUGCUAAUACCGCAUGAUGUUAUCUGGGGGCAUCCCCGGGUAACAAGAUUUAUCGCUCUGAGAUGGGCUCAUGUCUGAUUAGAUAGUUGGCGGGUAACGCCACCAAGUCUGCGAUCAGUAGCCGGACUGAGAGGUUGAACGGCCACAUUGGGACUGAGAUACGGCCCAGACUCCUACGGGAGCAGCAGUGGGGAAUAUUGGGCAAUGGGCGCAAGCCUGACCCAGCAAUGCCGCGUGAAGGAA